UCAGUAGGGGUUCUGAGAGGAAGGUCCCCCACAUUGGAACUGAGACACGGUCCAAACUCCUACGGGAGGCAGCAGUGAGGAAUAUUGGUCAAUGGGCGAGAGCCUGAACCAGCCAAGUAGCGUGCAGGAAGACGGCCCUAUGGGUUGUAAACUGCUUUUAUAAGGGAAUAAAGUUAGUCUCGUGAGACUUUUUGCAUGUACCUUAUGAAUAAGGACCGGCUAAUUCCGUGCCAGCAGCCGCGGUAAUACGGAAGGUCCGGGCGUUAUCCGGAUUUAUUGGGUUUAAAGGGGGCGUAGGCCGGAGAUUAAGCGUGUUGUGAAAUGUAGACGCUCAACGUCUGCACUGCAGCGCGAACUGGUUUCCUUGAGUACGCACAAAGUGGGCGGAAUUCGUGGUGUAGCGGUGAAAUGCUUAGAUAUCACGAAGAACUCCGAUUGCGAAGGCAGCUCACUGGAGCGCAACUGACGCUGAAGCUCGAAAGUGCGGGUAUCGAACAGGAUUAGAUACCCUGGUAGUCCGCACGGUAAACGAUGGAUGCCCGCUGUUGGUCUGAACAGGACAGCGGCCAAGCGAAAGCAUUAAGCAUCCCACCUGGGGAGUACGCCGGCAACGGUGAAACUCAAAGGAAUCGACGGGGGCCCGCACAAGCGGAGGAACAUGUGGUUUAAUUCGAUGAUACGCGAGGAACCUUACCCGGGCUUGAAUUGCAGAGGAAGGAUUUGGAGACAAUGACGCCCUUCGGGGUCUCUGUGAAGGUGCUGCAUGGUUGUCGUCAGCUCGUGCCGUGAGGUGUCGGCUUAAGUGCCAUAACGAGCGCAACCCCUCUCCUUAGUUGCCAUCAGGUUAAGCUGGGCACUCUGGGGACACUGCCACCGUAAGGUGUGAGGAAGGUGGGGAUGACGUCAAAUCAGCACGGCCCUUACGUCCGGGGCUACACACGUGUUACAAUGGCAGGUACAGAGAGACGGUUGUACGUAAGUACGAUCAAAUCCUUAAAGCCUGUCUCAGUUCGGACUGGGGUCUGCAACCCGACCCCACGAAGCUGGAUUCGCUAGUAAUCGCGCAUCAGCCAUGGCGCGGUGAAUACGUUCCCGGGCCUUGUACACACCGCCCGUCAAGCCAUGAAAGCCGGGGGCGCCUAAAGUCCGUGACCGUAAGGAGCGGCCUAGGGCGAAACUGGUAAUUGGGGCUAAGUCGUAACAAGGUA
rnacentral:rRNA from 1 species